UGGUGGAGCGAUUUGUCUGGUUAAUUCCGAUAACGAACGAGACUCUAGCCUACUAAAUAGACCAGCGGCUUCUCAAACGCCGGUGGGACUUCUUAGAGGGACAGGCGGCGAUUCAGCCGCACGAAACAGAGCAAUAACA
rnacentral:rRNA from 1 species